CUUCUGCUUGGAAAAUCUGUGAGAAUGUUAUUUGCCCCCAAAAUGGAAAGAUGAUGGAACCCCGACAAAAGAAGAAUGUAUACAAAACCUAUGGACUAUGCAGGAAUGGAAAAACUUACCACGUGGUUGGAAUUUUGUUUCGGCAGUUGCUGGAUUUCACAAGAAGAGAGAGAGAGAAUCUGACAAUGUGUUCAAUACAGCCAUACCUUGAAAGUCGAACGGAAUCUGUUCCGGAAGUCUGUUUGACUUCCAAAACAUUCGGAAACCAAGGAAGCUCUUGCAGCCAAUCGGAAGCCACAGAAGCCGCGUCGGACAUUCGGGUUCCAAAGAACGUUCGCAAACCAGGACACUCACUUCUGGGUUUGAGGCAUUCAGGAGCCAAAACAUUCAACUCUCAAGGCGUUUGGGAUCCAAGGUAUGUCUAUAUUCAUUAGGCUAUAAGUAAAGGUAAAGGUACCCCUGCCCAUACGGGCCGGUCGUGUCUGACUCUAGGGUUGUGCGCCCAUCUCCCUUAAGAGGCCGGGGGCCAGCGCUGUCCGGAGACACUUCCGGGUCACGUGGCCAGUGUGACGAAGCUGCUCUGGGGAGCCGGCACCAGCGCAGCACACGGAAACGCCGUUUACCUUCCCGCUAGAAAGUGGUACCUAUUUAUCUACUUGCACUUAGGGGUGCUUUCGAACUGCUAGGUGGGCAGGAGCUGGGACUGAAAGACAGGAGCUCACCCCGCCGUGGGGAUUCGAACCGCUGACCAUGCAAUCGGCAAGUCCUAGGCGCUGAGGUUUUACCCACAGCGCCACCCGCGUCCCCAUUAGGCUAUAUCCAAUGUUAUAUCACAGCCAGGGAAGACCCACUGACAAAAAUGGAUAUGGGUAACUCAGGCCCAUUAAUUUCAAGGAGUCUACUCUGCUUAGAACUUAGCUAGCUGGCUGGCCACUACUGCAGCCCGUGUUUUGUUAGCCCAAAAAUGGAAAACGAGCGAGGCAACUUAAGCUGACGGAAUAUUGUGCAGCUUUCAAACUUAACAUAUAGAAUAAAAGAACAAUAAGAACAUCUGUUUAGAGAAGUUUGGAGCAUGUUUAUUGAAUAUAUGGGAGGGCUGUGUACACUUAGAAACGUUGCCAGCAUUAAGAUGAAUUCAACAGUGUAAAUAAGUUUUGGUGGAUGUAAUUAUGGAAUACUGAAUGGUUUAGUUUAUGUAAAAAAUGCAGAGAUUUAUGAUAUGCAAAAUGAACCUUGGAAAGAGAAGAAGGGGGAGUCAUUGAUAUUUUAAGGAUGUUUAAAUGAGUAUUCUAAAUUGUAAACAUUAUAUAUAUAUAUAUGAAUGAACUUAAAUGCCUACAUCCCACUAGAUGGCCCACCAGGGGCCAUCAAUGGGUCCAACAGCAGAGGAAGACAAAGAGGAAGAAGUUGUCCUCUUCUCUCUCACUAACACUAGAACUCAGGGGCAUCCUAUGAUGCUCUGUGUUGGGAGAUUCAGGACAGACAAAAGAAAGUAGAAAGGAUAGAGCAUUAUUGAUUAAAAUAAAGCAGGCAUAGCUUAAGUUGUCAUCAAACCAGUUCACAAAGACCCUUGUGGUCAGAUAGAAUUCCUAAGCAUUUGUUGCUUACUGGUUUGAGAAGGAAGUAUGCAGUUAACUUGUGAAGUUGGCUACUGCAAGGGGUAGUGAUGGUCAGGAACAUGGAUGUACUUAAAAGAGGAUUAGACAAAUUCAUGAAAGAGAAGGCUAAGUUCUUCCUCUACAGUUAAAGGCAGCAUGCUUCCAAAUGUCAGCCGCUAUAAGCUUUCUCAGGCACUGCUUGUGGGUGUCCCAAGAGGCAUCUGUCAGGAAUGAGCCAGCUCCCAGUGUAACUUUGCAUCCGGCUGCUGAAUACAGUCAGGAACAGAGAAGUUUGGAGUCGAUGCCGGCUGAGCAGAGCACACAGCUGCCAGCAUCAACUCCCUCUAACCUUGGACGGCCAGUUGCCAAGGGAACAACUGAGAGCGGGCUGGAAAACAGCCAAAGGUCUCAGGAAGCUCAAAAAGGCUUGAACAGCCACACAGACAGUUUUUCGGAAUAGGAAGAGGCUGUAGCUGACAAAAAAGUCCAAGGCAGAGGCGAAUUGGGGGGCUGCUAGACAGGAAGCAAAAUAAGAGACAUAAAGGUCAAAAGUUCAAUAUCUUCUGUCGACACCAGAAGGAGUCUUCAGAAGGGUCAUCUUGAGUGAUAAUGCCGGUGGCUUGGCUAGAGCCAUCCGGAGUUAUCUGUUUGUAUUUACAAUAAAUCCUCCUUUUUAAUUACCUACACUUACUGUGUUAUCAAGCUGGGAACCUGGACUCUUGACAGCAUCUACCUGGUCAUUGUGAGAACAGUAUGCUAGACUAGGUGUGGCCAUUGGCCUGAAUCUGAAGGCUUUUCUUAUGUCCAGCACAUUGACUUUGAUAAAUUAGACUGUGCCAAACAUUUGAUCUGACUUUCAGGUUUUUUAAUGUUAUGAUUGGGAGAGCAGGGCAUGAAAAAGAAUAUGCCUGCACAGAAGGGGAAGACUACCAGCGCAGG
ensembl:lncRNA